GACGGAGGGUGCUAGCGUUGUUCGGAAUGACUGGGCGUAAAGGGCGCGUAGGCGGCCGGUUGCGUCGGAUGUGAAAGCCCGGGGCUCAACCCCGGAACGGCAUCCGAUACGGGCUGGCUUGAGACCGAGAGAGGUGAGUGGAAUACCCAGUGUAGAGGUGAAAUUCGUAGAUAUUGGGUGGAACACCGGUGGCGAAAGCGGCUCACUGGCUCGGUUCUGACGCUGAGGCGCGAAAGCGUGGGGAGCAAACAGGG
rnacentral:rRNA from 1 species